GGAACUUGGAGAAAUGGGAUAUGAAGUGAAUGCUGCAGUUACCACAGUAUCAUAUUUAUCAAAAGGCUUAAGAAUGGUUCACGUAUGAAGAACCUUGAACUACUUUUAAACAAGUCUGCAAGUGCUACUGCCUCCUGUUGAGCUAAAAUCACGCAUGACGUAUUGGUGAAAUUCUAAGGAGACACCCACUGUAACACCUGGGAGGGGAAGAAGAAACAAGGGUUAUUCCUCUACUGCUCAGAGAGAGUCCUAAAUGCAGUUGUACAACAGUGGUAACAGACCAAAACAGCAUCC